UGGAUCUCCAUGCUAUUGAAACCACAAGCAGCCAUGCUUUGCAGUUCCCAUCCCAUCCAUCUCGAACACAGCGAAACAAAACGGAUGCCUUUUGACAGUUAGAGCGUGUAAAUCGGCACCGAGGGGGGUAUAGUUUUUACUUAAUAAAAAAAAAAAUCCUCGAUAAUUUCAUUUUAAAAGACCGUCGCAAAUAUUAAUUAUUUCAAUGAUUUCUUUGUUCAUCGCGUUAAAUGGGUGCUAUUCCCCCUUAUCACCAGAUGGCGCAACACAAUUGAUUCUGCCCCUCCCCCUUAUACAUUUGGCGAAAACCGAUGAAGACUAAUGCCCCACUUAAAAAAAGUAAUGGUGCAACUGCUUCUGCUACUCAACGCAUAUAAUUUGAAGCGCUUGUCUAGAAUGAGUAGAGGCUGUCUGUUUGGGCAAAGUGGAGGCUAUUGCCUAUGUUUGCAAGGGGCUAAGGAGCUGAUGGCGAUGUCAAGGAGGAGCCUUCAAGGAGAUCUGCACGGUUGUCAUCGAAACCAGUACCUUCAAAACCAUCACCAAAUCCAAAAAAGCCAGCUAAGAAAGAAAAAGAAGUAAAUAACAAGAAGAAGGCGAAGGCAGCAGCGGUCGGGGAGCCUAAAGAGGAGACCCAGACUGAAAAUGGCGAGAUCAAGACAGAUGAAGUAGAGACUCCAGAUGAGAAGACUGAGUAGCACUACUCCCGUCCAUCCAAUCCCCUCCCUUGUAUGGCCCCCAAGUCUCAUAUGUUAUCCCUAAAACAUCCAUUACCUUAACAGAGGAAUAUUUUUAUCAACAAUUUUGUAAUUGGUACAGGGUUUUAGCUCAAAACACAGCUAAAUAUGGAGGAUUGUUCUGUUGUGCAGUGGUCAUAAAGUGUUUUUAAGCAAACAUAAUUACGGUUUUGUUUAUUUAUUAGUUUUGGUACCUUGUUGGGACUUUAAAAAAUAAUGCUGGAUGGCAGACUAAUUGCAGGUGGUGUAGUGUCACAUUGUAGGUUCGCCAACUCAGAACAUUUCACUUUUGUAGGUGGUUGUAUUUUUAUUCUUUAUGUACAGUGGUUUUUCUUUGGGAGGUGUUUACUUAUUUUCAAUUUGAUUGUCUGUAAGCAAUUUUGGAAACAUUUGAAACAUUCCAGGCUUAAAGGACAAUUUCACAAUUUUUCAACUUCAUAUUCAUAAUCUCGAGGACCACCGCAACAACAUGUGAAAAUUGCUAGUUUGUUUUGUUGUUAAAAAAUAGGAAUAUUUUCAAUGACCCCAUCAGUGUGCAUGGUGUGAUUUUAACAAAUGAGUUACCAUCAUUAGCUACUAAUUGGACACUUCCUCAGUUUUUUUAUCACAAAACAUAGAAACCUCACAUUUUCACAUAUGUUGAUGUUGUGCUGGAGAUUAAGCAGAACAUUUUUUAAAUUUCACUAAUGUGGGCAUACCUGCUUUUUAAAUAAUCUUGCUCUGAAUUAUUUUGACACAAAUGAUUUAAACAGAGGAAGAGGCUUGUUGGAAGUUGAUUAUACUUUUUGAAACAAAUGUUGGGAUUUUAACACUGAAAAUUAAUCUAUUGAAAUAUGCAGCUGUGUUCCCACUGAAGUUCUGGAUAUUUAAUUGGAAUUUAAUAAAAUAGUAAUUUCUCAUGAGGUUGCGCAAGGUCUCAUGACUUUACGUGUCAUUAUUACUGUAUCAUUACCAUAUCUAAACUCAAUAGUAGACCAUCUAGCCAACCAGUUGUUCUGAUUGUUAUUGUGGUAUGUAUAUUAUUGUAAUACUGAUAUAUAGUUAACAUUCUUAUAACAGAUUCUGGUCAAAGGUAGCAUUUUACAACCUGCUGGAUUUGGCGACAUGUCGCAGUCACUAUUUGCUGACCAAAAUAAAAAAUGAGACUGAAAGGACCCUAGGUAUCGUGCCAGCACAAAUAACCACAAAGACAUGAUCUGUCUUGCAAAAGCAUGACACUUUUCAGUUCUAUACAUUAUGAUUGUUUGACAUGCAAAUUUGUAAUCAUGCUCCAACUAGUAGCUUUAUGGUAAGUUUUGUGCUUGUCUGAAAAGAACCCUGUACUGCUGCUUGGAAGUUGCAACUAUUUUAAUAUUUUGAGGUAUAUGCUAAACCAGUUCAGCUUGUGCCAUGUAGUGAAGGCAAGAAAAUAGAACUUACUCAUCACAAGAAAAGUAUAAUAGCC
ensembl:lncRNA